rnacentral:rRNA from 1 species
CGCGGGGGGAGCAAGCGUUGUUCGGAAUCACUGGGCGUAAAGGGCGCGUAGGUGGUGGCUUAAGCGUGCGGUGAAAGCUCGGAGCUCAACUCCGAGUCGGCCGUGCGAACUGGGCUCACUGGAGCAUAGUAGAGGCAGGUGGAAUUCCGGGUGUAGCGGUGGAAUGCGUAGAGAUCCGGAAGAACACCGGUGGCGAAGGCGGCCUGCUGGGCUAUGGCUGACACUGAGGCGCGACAGCGUGGGGAGCAAACAGG